rnacentral:rRNA from 1 species
AGAGUUUGAUCAUGGCUCAGGACGAACGCUGGCGGCGUGCCUAAUACAUGCAAGUCGAGCGGAUCUUGGCCUCGGGUCAAGGUUAGCGGCGGACGGGUGAGUAACACGUAGGCAACCUGCCUGUAAGAUCGGGAUAACUACCGGAAACGGUAGCUAAGACCGGAUAAUUGGUUUCCUCGCAUGAGGGGAUCAUGAAACAU